UUCUAUUUCCUUUUGGAGCACUAUUAGGCACUCUUCUCUAUUGCAUAUCACCCCACAAACAUCAGUAGAGGAUGAAACUCAAAUGGAUUUUUAUGAUGGAAGAGAUCAAUAUUUGAAUGCCUAUGCCAAUGAAAUUGUAUUGUGUGAGCAACGUCUAGAAAGUUGUCAGUUAGGUUAAGAUAUUUAAUGUGAACUUGUAAG
rnacentral:misc_RNA from 1 species